UUGAAGCUAUUUAUUAGCUGUGCUUGAUUGCCGAAGUUUACCAUUGAUUUUUAUGAUUUUCAUCUAUGGCUUACUGGUUUAUGUAGUCUGAUUUAUGUUUCUGAUUUUUAGCAAUGAAUCAUCAGUAUUUUACUUGCUACACCAGUCAUCGCCUCACUUUACUUCUAUAGUAUAGUUGUGUUUGAUUUGGAUUUGAAUUUCUCACUUGCAUUAUAUGCCACUUGCAGGAUGAUAUUUGUUCCGCAAACUGUGACUCGUGAUAUUAUAUCUCGGAUGAUCAUGGGGAAGCCUACUCCAGUCGAGAAGUGAAAAAAUUAUCCAGUUGUUAUGAAAGAUUAUCAAGUGGAUAAUCAAAUGAAGGGAUGAUUGACAUAUAGAUAGAUCAUAGAUGCUUGUUUCAUUCGCUAUAAAGCUAAUAAGGCCAAACUUGCUUGCUCAAUAAGCUCGCGUUGUGUUUCGGAGAGAAAAGGAGGAGGCGGAACAAGCCAAAUAGAUAGACAUAUAGUAAGCAACUAUCUUGAUGUUCCACUCUUUAUAUAUGUGAAAAAAUAGUAUAGCCUCAAUGCAAUGUAUAUAUGCCUAAGUGACACAAUUUUAAAUUGCAUAGUUUAGAUUGGAUAUAAAGUAUGAUCUAUAUCUUUUGUUUUACUUUUGUAACUCCUCUCUCACACAAUAAACAUCUCUGCUUAAAUCAAUUUGAAAGAACCUCAAUAGGUAAUUCUUAGUUUCAAUUUUAUGUAUAUGUUUCAGAUUGGGUAUGGAUUAGC
rnacentral:lncRNA from 1 species